AACCCGCCCUCACGAAGAUGGAUUCCGUAGUAAUCGCGUGUCAACAUCACGCGGUGAAUAUGCCCCUGCUCCUUGCACACACCGCCCGUCAAGCCACCCGAGUUGAGCCUGGGUGAUGGUGCCGUUCUUGCGGCGCUAGAACCUAGGUUCAGCAAGGAGGGCUAAGUCGUAACAAGGUAUCUGUAGGGGAACCUGCAGAUGGAUCACCUCCUAAA
rnacentral:rRNA from 1 species